CCUACGGGAGGCUGCAGUAGGGAAUCUUCCACAAUGGGCGAAAGCCUGAUGGAGCAACGCCGCGUGGGUGAAGAAGGUCUUCGGAUCGUAAAACUCUGUUGUUAGAGAAGAAAGUGCGUGAGAGUAACUGUUCACGUUUCGACGGUAACUAACCAGAAAGCAACGGCUAACUACGUGCCAGCAGCCGCGGUAAUACGUAGGUGGCAAGCGUUAUCCGGAUUUAUUGGGCGUAAAGGGAACGCAGGCGGUCUUUUAAGUCUGAUGUGAAAGCCUUCGGCUUAACCGGAGUAGUGCAUUGGAAACUGGGAGACUUGAGUGCAGAAGAGGAGAGUGGAACUCCAUGUGUAGCGGUGAAAUGCGUAGAUAUAUGGAAGAACACCAGUGGCGAAAGCGGCUCUCUGGUCUGUAACUGACGCUGAGGUUCGAAAGCGUGGGUAGCAAACAGGAUUAGAUACCCGAGUAGUC
rnacentral:rRNA from 1 species